UGAGCAAUCUGCCCUUCUCUUCGGAAUAAGCGUUGGAAACGACGUCUAAUGCCGAAUACGACCUCCUUUCGCAUGAUCGGAGGUGGAAAGCUCCGGCGGAGAAGGAUGAGCUCGCGGCCUAUCAGCUAGUUGGUGUGGGUAAUGGCCCACAAGGCGACGACGGGUAGCCGGCCUGAGAGGGUGACCGGCCACACGUGGGACUGAGACACGGCCCAGACCUCCGUACGGGGAGGNAGCG
rnacentral:rRNA from 1 species